rnacentral:rRNA from 1 species
AGAUGGCGACCGGCGCACGGGUGAGUAACACGUAUCCAACCUGCCGAUAACUCGGGGAUAGCCUUUCGAAAGAAAGAUUAAUACCCGAUGGCAUAAUUAGACCGCAUGGUCUUAUUAUUAAAGAAUUUCGGUUAUCGAUGGGGAUGCGUUCCAUUAGGCAGUUGGUGAGGUAACGGCUCACCAAACCUUCGAUGGAGUAGGGGUUCUGAGAGGAACGGUCCCCCACAUUGGAACUGAGACACGGUCCAA